CUUCUUCGCAUUGUGUGUUGUGUUUAUUUAUUUUUUUCCAUUUCCAGUAGAUCUUUGAUUGUGUUAGAUAUGGGAUUUAUUGUGGGUCUUUGGGUAUGAUUGUGUGGGUGGGUUGAUUGAUUUUUGGUGCUUGGAAAUGGGUGUUCUCAGAUUUCGUAUUUGAAGCCAUUGUUUGGGUUUAUAGAGACCCAAUUGGGGGGCUUUGGUGAGUUUGGGAUUGUGAUUUUGUGGUGGGUUUUGAAGAAUGUGGCAAUGUAGGGGGGUCUUUGACUUGAGUUCUGUUUGUGUCUCAGAAUUGUAGUCUUUGGUGUUUUAGAUUUUUGUGAGUGAGGAGAGAAAGGAUUACUCAAUGUUACUAACUGGAAUAAUUCAAAAUGCCCAUAAGGGCAAUGAAGAUCUUAUUAUUGUUCAUGAUGGUCUUAAGUAUGGGAACUGCCGUCUAUCAUUGGCGAUUCCCAAAUAUGGGAUUUUUGAGAACAUAAAUUCUCUAAAAGAGCUAGCACAAAUGCCUCAAUGGACUGCUGAAAAUCCUUUGCGAGUCGCUACUGGAUUCACCUUCGUGAGAUCUAGGUCCUAAAUUUAUGAAAGAAAAUUGACUAACGUAUGUGACUUUUUCAACUGCUGAUGGAGCACUGGAGGCAGCUCUUGCGGUUUUCCUGAAGCAGCAUCUCACAAAUGUUGUCUUUGACUCCAAUUUUGCUGAUGAAGGCUAGUUUUCUGUUUUUGUCUUGUCCGUUAUGAACCAAGCCAAUUGUAUUGUUUCUUGUGCUGUGAUUAUUCUAUUAGUGGCAUGUUGUUACAUUUCGUGAACAAGGAAUGAUUGGGGGGAUAGAUACCAGUAAUGUAGUCUAAGUUUGAAGCAAUUUAUUGCUUAUAUGAUAUGAGUGAUAAUUCUAACACUGGGCUAGAACUAAUGAGUUUUAGCUCAAAUGACACAUGCUUCUACCUGAUUAACGGGAUGGAGGGUAAGGUAGUGAGUUCAAGACUCAAGAGAUGUGUAUAGCUUACCAAUGAGGAAAGGUCUUAUCACUUUGCCCCCACUUGGGAUGCCUUAGCAAUAAGGGAGAGUGCCUAGAUAACUGUAAACCUAGAAGUCUUUGAUUCAACUCCUAGCUAAGGCAUUUUGUGAUUUACUUGAUGCCUGCUCAGUGGGGGUAUGUAGGCAUCCUAGGUUUACCCCUCAGUGGCGGUCCCAUUGGCCCAUACCAGUGCUUGCAUGUGUGUAUUUAUAGUUAUCUUUGCAUAAUUUCUUGUUAGUUGAUGAUUUAUUUUCUUAGGAAUUUAAAUUCAAAAUGAGGACAAUAAUGUUUGUGACUCAUUGUUUAUAAUAUGAGUUAUGUUUGUAAAGGAAGAUGAUACUGAGCAG